UACAGAGGUCUCAAGCGUUGUUCGGAUUCAUUUGGGCGUAAAGGGUGUGUAGGUGGCGCGCUAAGUCGGGUGUGAAAUUUCGGAGCUUAACUCCGAAACUGCAUUCGAUACUGGCGUGCUUGAGGACUGGAGAGGAGACUGGAAUUCAUGGUGUAGCAGUGAAAUGCGUAGAGAUCAUGAGGAAGACCAGUGGCGAAGGCGGGUCUCUGGACAGUUCCUGACACUGAGACACGAAGGCCAGGGAGCAAACGGG
rnacentral:rRNA from 1 species